UACGAAGGGGGCUAGCGUUGCUCGGAAUUACUGGGCGUAAAGCGCACGUAGGCGGCUUUCUAAGUCGGGGGUGAAAUCCUGGAGCUCAACUCCAGAACUGCCUUCGAUACUGGAGAGCUCGAGUCCGGGAGAGGUGAGUGGAACUGCGAGUGUAGAGGUGAAAUUCGUAGAUAUUCGCAAGAACACCAGUGGCGAAGGCGGCUCACUGGCCCGAUACUGACGCUGAUGCACGAAAGCGUGGGGAGCAAACAGG
rnacentral:rRNA from 1 species